UUUCAUAGGUUGCGGAGCGGGCUCUCUACUUUUGGCAUAACGAAUACAUAUUAAGUCUAAUCGAGGAGAAUUCAAAUACAAUAAUGCCAAUCAUGUUUCCAGCAUUAUAUAAAAUAUCUAAGGAACAUUGGAACCAGACGAUCAUUGCACUUGUUUACAAUGUUUUGAAGACAUUUAUGGAAGUAAAUUGACUGGAAGUUAUAGACAAGAAAGACAAAAAGAGAAGAGGAAAGAAAAAGAAAGAGACGAGUUAUGGAGGAAAUUAUCGGAAUUGGAAUUAGAUCAUAAGAGUGGACAAUUAGGAGACGGAAGACUUUAACCUCAUUAUUAUAAAUAUAUUGUAUGAAAGAAACAAAGAUAAUAGCUCACACUGGUGAUACCACUGGGCGAAUUGAGCUUGGCACAGUUUAUACCAUUCGAGACAA